rnacentral:tRNA from 1 species
GGAUUGUGGCUCAGCGGUAGAGCACUUGCCUAGCAUGUGCGAGGCCCUGGGUUCAAUUCUCAGCACCA